UGCACCGAUGAUAACUUACUUGAUGGAUCUUAUCCAAUCGAUAGGUAGGUAUGUUGGAAUCUCAUGGCAAGAAAUUGGGUUUAAGGGUUAUGGAUGCACAAGUAGUAUCUCUACUUAGUGCGAAUUUUUGGGCUAGCAAAGGAUCUAAAGCAAGGACCACAUGUUAGAGGAUCCAUGACAAUAUAAAUUCUGUAUGAAUGUAAACAAAUAAAAUCAUUAUGCUGUCUUCCUUGUCCAACAUAAACACUUCGAUCAUUAUAUAAUAUUUGGUGAGGUCUCACAAUCAUAAAAAUGUCCAAGAUAGUAUAUUUUAUUUAAAUCUCCUCCACUCUAUCAUAAUUUUGCAUGGGUUGUAUCAAUGACUAAUGCUAUGUUUGGUCACUCCCAACAACUUUUAUCUAUCAUACUUUUCUAUGUGAAGUCAUU
rnacentral:lncRNA from 1 species